CUGAAGUGCCGUGAUGUUACUCUGUAUGGGCAGGUGCCUGAAGCCUUCUGGUGAGGGCAGAACCCUGGGAAUUGGCAGUGGAACAUUGAGAACUAGAAUCCACAUCAUUCCUGGUCAGCAGUCCCACCUGCCUUGUGCUUGGUCUCUGAGGGGGGAGAUGAAGAAAGGACUGGUGGAGAGAGAAGGUUGAAAAGGUUCUUUGCAUCCCCCAGACCCUCCUUUAAGCUGUGGUCAGGUCUGGCUGUGAGGAGCUGGCUGGAGGUGGUUAAACCUGGUGAGAAGGAGGAGGAUGAGGAGGAAGGAGGGCCAGAUGCACGCUGAGCCAUGCUGGACUCUGCCAAGCAGAUUUCCAAGCCAUCUGGGGCUUGCCCAUCUCCAUUUCAGACAUUGAAUCUCAGCUCCUGUUUCCUUUCCCAACUGCAAAUGCACUCUGGAGGGCUGGGCACAUCCAUGGUGGAUAACACAUUACAGCUGCACUCUGGAAUGAGCAGAGCCCUUCUUGGUGAUCCAGUGGACAGAGGAGUUAUCUUGACUGUCCAGCCAGCCUGGUGCUCUCUAAUACAAUGGCAAAGGUGCCAGGAUGCUGUGGAGGGAGCUGGAUGCUCUCACGGUCAUCUUGGACACCUGAGCUGUUGGAUGAGCUGAGGACACAACGCUGGCAACAGAAACAAGUUCACCACUGCCUUGGAGAAGUUUAGAGGCUUAUUCAAGCUCAGAAGACCCAACCCCAAUGAGCCAAGGAAAUGAGGAGCAGUCUUUAUUCAGUGAGGGAAUACCCUGGAGAGGCAAAGCAUCUUUACCACUCUAAGCAACCAUAAAAAAG